rnacentral:rRNA from 1 species
CGGACGUAGGAAUAUGCCCUAGAGAGGGGAUAACUUGGGGAAACUCAAGCUAAUACCGCAUAAUCUCUGAGGAGUGAAGCUGGGGACCUGAGAGGGCCUGGCGCUUUAGGAAUAGCCUGCGUCUGAUUAGCUAGUUGGUAGGGUAAGGGCCUACCAAGGCGACGAUCGGUAGCUGGUCUGAGAGGAUGAUCAGCCACACUGGGACUGAGACACGGCCCAG